rnacentral:rRNA from 1 species
GAUGAACGCUGGCGGCGUGCCUAAUACAUGCAAGUCGAACACAUAGCGAAAGGUGCUUGCACCUUUCACGUGCGUGGCGAACGGGUGAGUAACACGUGGACAACCUGCCUCAAGGCUGGGGAUAACAUUUGGAAACAGAUGCUAAUACCGAAUAAAACUUAGUGUCGCAUGACACAAAGUUAAAAGGCGCUUCGGCGUCACCUAGAGAUGGAUCCGCGGUGCAUUAGUUAGUUGGUGGGGUAAAGGCCUACCAAGACAAUGAUGCAUAGCCGAGUUGCGAGAGUGAUCGGCCACAUUGGGACUGAGACACGGCCCAAACUCCUACGGGAGGCUGCAGUAGGGAAGCUUCCAAAAUGGGCGAAAGCCUGAUGGAGCAACGCCGGGUGGGUGAUGAAGGCUUUCGGGUCGUAAAGCACUGUUGUAUGGGAAGAACAGCUAGAAUAGGAAAUGAGUUUAGUUUGACGGUACCAUACCAGAAAGGGACGGCUAAAUACGUG